UUCAAGCUGAAAACAGAGCCCACGCUGCACAGCACCGCGCCUCCUCCGGCAAAAGCGAUGUUCAGGCGCUCUGCGAGCAGCACCCGUGGGGAGCUCAGUGACCUUCUCGCUCCCAUCAUCCCUUGGGCCACAGUUUCUAAAGCAGCCCCACAAACACUCACCUGAUUUCGGCGUCAGACCUAUGAGGCAGAAUUUCACUCUUGUUGCCCAGGCUGGAGUGCAAUGGCAAGAUCUCGGCUCACUGCAACCUCCGCCUCCCGGGUUCAAGCGAUUCUCCUGCCUCAGCCUCCCGUGUAGCUGGGACUACAGGAUGAUGGAUUCACACCUGCCUCGGCCAUGCACCCCAUCACAAAACCAGAAGCCUAGGAGUGCUCCUGUCAUCUUGAUUUUUCUCUCACAUCAGUGAUUCCAAAAUAAGGACUUAACCUGUGUGCUUCUCUUCUUCUCGCUGUCCCCACCCACCAGAGUCUCCCACCUGGACUGUUACCAUUGCCUCCUAACUGACCUUCCUACUUGCAUGCCUGUCAUCAUCUGCCCAUUUUCAACAUGCCUUCCAGAAGACAAAAUCUAUACUUAUCAGCUGAAGUUUGCAUAAAAUGCUCCAGUGCCUUCCACUUGCACCCAGGAUUCAAUCCAAAGCCCCUCCCAGGGCUGCCCAGGCUGUUUCCCCAACCUCCUUAGGGCCAUCUCCUCCUGGCUCCUACCCUCCUUGGCCCACUGCUGCCCCCGGAUCACACCCAGCUCCUCCCAGGACCUCAGCCCUGGCUGCUCCAGACCUUCCACUUGGUCCCUUGCCUUCUGUCAGUUCCCAAAGGUCAUCUUCCCAGAGAGACCCUCCCUGACCCUGGGUAAACUGCGUCUCCCUAUGCUGCUCCAGCCAGCACCCUGUUGACUCCCCUCACAAUGCUAACAAGCAUCUGCAUUCCAUUUGCAUUUGUGGUUGUUUGCUUGUUUGUUCUGUCUCCCCCACUAGACAUUCCAGGAAGGUGAGGCCAUGCCUUGCCAGUACCUACUUAACAUUCAAUGAAUGAAUGAAUGAAUGAAUGAAUGAAUGAACGAACGAACGAGUGAACUCAGGGUGGUGCUUCACCUGCUGGUUUACACGCCUGUCUCUGCCCACCCACCCUGGUAGAGUCUCUUAAGGGAGGGACCCCCUCUGACUACCUCUGUUCUUA
rnacentral:lncRNA from 1 species